UACUAACUUACUUAUUUAUUUACUUACUUAUUUAUUUAUUCACCCGGGCCUUGUGUUGUGUUGUGUUUCCGACGAAGAUGAACGGAAUGACGAGGAGUCUGUGCACCUUUGAGGACAUCCGACAACAGGAGUAUGGGGAGGGCUGCCGACGGUUGAGGCUCACGCUGCACGACCAGGGCCAGGCGGCACGGAGCGCACAGCAGCACUGGGACAAGCCAGUCGGACGUGCCUUUGCACUGGUGCAGCCAGCCAACGACAGAACAGCUGUGAACCCAGAGCCUGUCAAGUCUAGGGAGGAGCAGGUUGAAGUUAUUAAGGUUUAUCUGGAGGCCCGUAAACAAGAGCAGCACAAACACCAGCAGAGUCUGAAGAUGCUGUCAGAUGAGGUGUCACAGAUACAGGAGGUGAGAUACUGUCUGAAAACACUGAGAGAGCAAAUGGCUGCUAAAAGUAAGCCACACACAAAUGGUUGGAAAAUGGGAAUUCCCUUCAGGAAGAACACCUCAUCCAACGCCAAGGCAGAAGCUAAAUCUGAUGUACAGGAGGAUGACGAAGCAGAGAGGAACAAGCUGAGAGAAGUCAGUAAGCGCUUAUACGCCCAGCUGCAGGAGGCUGAGAAGAAACACCAGGAGGAGAAGGAGAGGCUGCAGGCUGAAGGCACCAGGCUGAAGGAGCGUUUGAGUGACCAGGAGGACAAACUGAAGACCACAGAGGAAGCCAGUGAGAGAAAGGACCAACGCAUCGAAGAGCUGCAGAGGCUGCUGGGAGGCAUGGCGCAAGAAAGCGCCACCUUGAGGGUGGAAAUCCACAACCGUGAAGAGGAACUGCGGGAGCUGCGUGACUUCAGAAAGGAAGGCCAGCAGGGAAACCAGAGAGCUGAACAGUUGGAGAAGGAAGUCGCAAUUCUCAAAGAGAAAAUCCACCAUCUGGAUGAUAUGUUGAAGAGCCAACAGAGGAAAGUCAGGCACAUGAUUGAACAGCUGCAAAACUCUCGCAUGGUGAUCCAGGAGAGAGACCGUGUGAUCAAGGAGCUGGAGGAGAAAGUGGCUUUUCUGGAGGCAGAGAACCGAGAGAUGCACGACCAGAUGGACUACUUUCUGGGUGAACAAAGGUCAAACUCCUACCUGUCAUCAGAGCGGAACCCACAGAUUGUCUACAGUAAACCACUGAAGCCAAACACGACAUCAAACAAACCGCUCCCCUUUAUCAAAGUCAUUGAGAUCAAGUCGUGAAGGGACCCAGAAACACACAACUGAGAUGAACAACGCAGAACCACUCACUCCACUUUUUGUCUCAGACUUCAAUGACUGACAGUUAUAUAUAUAUAUGUAUAUACAUAUAUAUAUAUGACAUUUAAAGCUACACCUGUACUUUACCGCAGCAGAGUGCCAGUGUCCUGCCCUGUUGAUUACGUUUUAACGUUAUCAAAAUAUUUGUUGUUGUUGUUGUGAUGUGCAAAUUGUUAGGGCGACAGAUAAUUUGCCA